rnacentral:lncRNA from 1 species
GGUGUAGCUCCAACCCUAAAGAGUGCCUGGCUCACCAUAGUCAUAAAAAGAAUGAAAUAAUGCCAUUUGCAACAACAUGGAUGGACCUAGAGAUUAUCAUACUAAGUGAAGCAAGUCAGAAAGAGAAAGACAAAUGCCAUAUGAUAUCAUUUAUAUGUGGAAUCUUAAAAAAGGAUACAAAUGAACCUAUUUACAAAACAGAAACAGACUCACACACAUAGAAAAAAACUUAUGGCUACCAAAGUGGUGGAGGAGGGAUAGAGUAGGAGUUUGGAAUGAGCAGACACAAACUCUUAUACAUAAAAUAGAUAAAUAACAAGGACUUACUGUAUAGCACAGGAAACUAUAUUCACUACCUUGUAAUAACCUAUAAUGGACUAGAAUCUGAAAAAUAAUAUGUAUAUCUGAAUUACUUUGCUGUACACCAGAAACUAACACAACAUUGUAAAUCAACUAUACUUCAAUUCAAUUAAAAAAAAAAAAAGAAUGGGGUAUUCCCCUGUGACACAGCAGGAUAAGAAUCCAGUGUUGUCACUACAGUGGUUCAGGUUGGAGCUGUGACAUGGGUACAAUCCCUGGCCUGGGAACUUCUUUACGCUGGAGGUGUGGGUUAAAAAAAAAAAAAAAAAAAAAAGAAUGGCUAAUACUGUGAGAAAAAUAAUGUAAAAACACUCAUUUGCUUGACUUGACUUCACUCAUUAAGGAAUAAUUGCACAGGACCAUCUAGAAAGAGAAAUGUGAUGUGAGCCCAGGUCCCCAACUCAAUGCCACAUUUGUCCUUUUCUGUUUGGAAAGGCUGGGGAUUUCCUAUUCCCUGUCUAUUCCUCCCCUUCAGUCCUUCCUCCAUUAAAACAAUGUGCUACCAAACAAAACACAAAGUUCCAAAAUGAUUAUUUGAAAUUAUUUAGUUUUUACCCUCCCUAGGUUAUGACCAGGUAAAAGCAAUAAAAACAAAAUCAAGGGAGUUCCCAUUAUGGCACAGUGGUAAAGAACCUGACUAGUAUCUAUGAAGACACAGGUUCAAUCCCUGGCCUCACUCACUGGGUUAAGGAUCUGGCAUUGCUAUGAGCUGUGGUAUAGGUCGCAGAUGUGAUAUGGAUCCUGUGUUGUUAUGGCUGUGGCGCAGGCCUGCAGCUGCAGCUCUGAUUCAGCCCCUGGCCUGGAAACUUCCACAUGUCAUAGGUGUGGCCCUUAAAGCAAAAAAAAAAAAAAAAAACCAAAAAACAAGAACAAAUAAAUAAACAAAAAACCACACAAGACUUUGGGGCCUAAUUACUGACCAAAUGUCAUCCUCUCCAAUCACUUUGAUGGCUUAUUUCUUUUUAAAAUUCAGCACACCCCUACAGGAGUGAGAGGCAGUAAGGACUGGCCUGUGGUGGUGACAGUAGACAUGGAAAAAGACAGAUGGUAGAGACUUUGGGAUUAGCUGGAUGCAAGGCUGGAAGGAAAGGAGAAGACAAAGGGGUGGGGAGGGGUCCUGCUGGAGCUCCCAGGAGACUCAUAUCAUCACUGAGCAGGUCCGAGAAACAGGAGGGUCAAGCUGAGUAGGAAGGAAAGAUGCGGAAUUUGCCUCUCCUGUGUUUCCUUGUUAUGCUUCAGCUGCACCAACCACAGCACCGUCAUCUCAUCAGUUCAUGUGAAAAGACGAUUUCUUCCUGAAGUUUCUUCUGCCAGAUCUCCCCAUGGCUGGCUUAGUGUCAACAUCACCUCUUCAGAAAGGCCCUCCUGACCAACUGAAGUAGCCAUCCAGCCUCUUGUCUCUGUCCGUGUUUUGUUUUCUUCAGGGCCCUCAGCACCACCUGAGGUUUCCUUGUUUAUCCAUUUCUGGUCCAUGUCUCCUCAGCUACAGUGUGGCUUCUAGGAGAGCAGAAGCCUCCUUCGUCCACUCGACCACAUUGGAUUUGCGGAGAUUGUGUCGAGGGCAGAGCAGGCUCUCAGGUGACACGAAAGGGGAAAGUCACCUAAGCUAUACAAGCUUUGGCAGGCUCAGAGCCCUAAUCUAAGAAGGAGAGAGCAAUUUAUCUUCCAGUCUCCCACAGACUCAGUCCCGGUAUUGCUUCUCAUAGAAAAACAGGAAACAAAGUAAGCCUCCAUCAUGGAGUUCCAGUCGUGGUGCAGCAGAAACGAAUCCGACUAGGAACCAUGAGGUUGCAGGUUCGAUCCCUGGCCUCGCUCAGUGGGUUAAAGAUCUGGUGUUGCCGUGAGCUGUGGUGUAGGUCGCAGACGCGACUUGGAUCUGGCGUUGCUGUGGCCUUGGUGUAGCCCGGCAGCUACAGCUCCAAUUAGACCCCUAGCCUGGGAAACUCCAUAUGCUGAGGGUGUGGCCCUAAAAGGCAAAAACACAAAACAAAACAAAACACAACAUAGAAUCCCGUGUGACCUGGCCAUUAAAAAUGGUAAUGAGAGUAUCUGCUGCAGAUGGAAACACACGUACCCUUUCUCCGACCCAACGAUCCCAUUCCUGUAUCUAUCCCCACCAGGAACGCAUGUGCACAGCCACCAAACUACAUGCAAAAGAAUGCGCACAGCAGCCCAACUCACAAUAGCCCCAAACUGGGCCAAAAUGUCCAUUAACAGCAGACUGGAUCACGUGUGACUGCGAUUGCCGAGAAUGCUGUCUAGCCGUGAGGGCAGAUCAACAACCCACACAACGACGUGGAUGAAUCUCACAAACAGAACGUGGAGUAAAAGAGGAAAGAAAGAGACGUUCUGUGCAGUUCAGUUCCAUUUACAGGAAGUUCAAAAGCAGGCACAGCUAAUCCCAGGCUGGUGGAAGGCAGGACACAGGUUAUCUGGGAAAGGAGUGCUGACGGGGAGAGGGCAGGAGAAACUUCCAAAAUGUGGGAAAUGUCCUGUUUCUUGAUCUGCUUCCUGGGUGCAGAGCUGUGUUCACUUUUUGAAAAUGUGUGGUGUUUCACACAUAUGACUUGCACUCUUUCCUGUGUGUAUGUGAUACAUCAAACGAAGAAAGAAAGGAAAAAGGAGGCAGAUCUACAUUUAUUGACGUGGCACAUGGGAAGACGUGCCGGCCUCAGCACAGAGAGGACAGGUACGCCCCUGUAGUAUAGUCAUUCCAGUUAUGCUAAGUUGCAGAAGCAGAGCUCUAAGGACCUAUAUGAAAAGAAGGUCACUCCAGGAAACAGUUCUCGUAGAGGUUAACGGUGCUUACCUUGGAGUCGGAGUGUGACUUUUGUUUAGUUUUGACUGUUUUAUACUUCUCUAUUUGUUUGCAUUUGUGUCUAGCAUAUGCAUCACUUUAUCCUCAGAGAAUGGUUUUUAUUUUUAAAAAACGCCUCCUUGAUGAAAAGGAAAAGGAAAACCUGCUUUUUAUUUCCCCCAGAAGCAAACCAAAGUCUACUGACCAAAGUCUACUGAAGAAAGUGACCAGGGACAGGACACAUACACGGUGGGCCUCUAACUCGAUUUGCAACUGCGCCAGGUUGUAAGCAUUUCCAAGGCUGGUCCUGGACAGAGCAGCCACUGUCUUUCAUGCCAACAGACAUGAAAACGGUAAAAAUGUGAGGGUGGACGAAGGGAGAGGUCGGAGUCUGCGGGAGUUCAGGGUAAAUGCUAUAGAAGUUGCAGGUGACCUGUUCUCCCUCCCUUUGAAGCAGAGAGCAGAUGGGUCCGUUUAUUAAAGGAAAGUAACCUCCAUUUAUCAUUCUUCAGCCUCUAAUCCGUAUGCUGUCCACCAUGGCGCUACCUCUCUUUGGCUCGGGUUGAGGGAUUCUACCAGUUUUGUCCCAGCCCUGCCUUCCCCAGCGUGCGAGACUUUCCUAUUUCUCCCUCAGCUCCCUUUCCCACCCAGAGCCUCCUCCACAAGCUCACAUACUCCAAAUUCUUUGACUGGGGGAUACAGUACUUUCUUGUACAAAGCCCAAGCUAAAAAUGUAAAUAACCCCGGGUGAGUUAACACAUGGCCUUAAUAUUCACACUAAGGUGUAAAUGUCUAAUAUAAGUUCGAAAGUGGAAGCUCCGAUGGGGGGAUGGGCACAGGGGAAGAAAGGCCCCUGUUUCCGCCCAGAGUUGGCCAGGUUGUGAUGGCACCUCCGUCCCCUCCACCGCAGCCCCCACCCCCACGCAGGCCUGUCCAGAAGAUCCCAAGCCACCCAGAAGCAGAAGGCAGCUCCCAUCACCCUGACCAGAUCUAUAUCCAUUCCAGACUCAGGAUUACAAUAAUUUGGGAGAGGGUCAACCAAGUCAGAGCCCCAGAUGGCAGAAGAGCUGCUUUAGCUUAAGACUCUUAACUCUUUUUCCUCGGGGCAGGAAAGGUUUGAGACAAUGAAGGAUGAGGCUUUCCAGGCCCGGGACACAACCUUGAUCCAAAGCCUAGUCAUGGCUUUAAUUUCUGUAAAUCAAAGCCUCAAGUUUUUCUUCACUCUCUUAGCUGAAGACAUGUUACCCAGGAUGGAGGGGGGAAAGAAAGGAAUAAUAGGUACCAAAUUGGAGGUUGUGUGACAUCCUGUGCCACUUAAACCCUUUGCAGGCAGGCAGAAAUCACUGCUUUACUAAAUUCCAUUUCCUAAGCGUUUUUUCCCCCCACUCCCAACCAUUGUCUUCACAGGAUCAUCCCAUACUUGGAAAACAUUUGUCUAAUUAUCAUCACACACGAUGGGCCUAUUGCCAGCUGCUUUUUAUUUUAACUUCAGAUUCUUUCCAGGGUGUUUGUUGUUUUUUUUUUUUUCCUCGGGGGUGGGGAGCGGGAGAGAGGAGUGCAUGUCUGUUUUUGCUAUUACGCAGAACCGAUCAGAUUUCCUUUUAUAAUCACAAUUAAACUUCCAGAUCCGAUCAUGUGAAUCCUUCAUGUUUAGAGGAUUGGAAUGCUCAUUGAUUCGGUCAGUCGCACAAAACUUUCCAAGUCUGGAGG